GACGAACGCUGGCGGCGUGCUUAACACAUGCCAGUCGAACGGAAAGGCCCUGUUUUGGGGUGGUGCUGGAGCGACGAGGGGGGGAGUAAGACGGUAGCAUCCUCCUCUCUAUUGUGGGAUAACAUCAGGAAAGUGCGGCUACCACCGGAUAGCAGCUGCUGCUGGGUGGUGGGGGGUGGAAAGUGUCGGCGGUUGGGGAUGGACUCGCGGCUUAUCAGCUUGUUGGUGGGGUAGUGGCUUACCAAGGCUUUGACGGGUAGCCGGCCUGAGAGGGUGACCGGCCACAUUGGGACUGAGAUACGGCCCAGACUCCUACGGGAGGCAGCAGUGGGGAAUAUUGCACAAUGGGCGGAAGCCUGAUGCAGCAACGCCGCGUGCGGGAUGACGGCCUUCGGGUUGUAAACCGCUUUCGCCUGUGACGAAGCGUGAGUGACGGUAAUGGGUAAAGAAGCACCGGCUAACUACGUG
rnacentral:rRNA from 1 species